AACCUGCGGAAGGAUCAUUAAUGAAAUUCUGAGUAGGCUCUGCCUCUCACCCUUCAUAUCCAUAAACACCUGUGCACAGUCGGACCCUUGAGUCUUUCGGGACUCCUGGUGUCUUGACGAUCUUAUCAAACAACAAUGUAACCAAUGUAAUCAUUAUUAUAACAUAAUAAAACUUUUAACAACGGAUCUCUUGGCUCUCGCAUCGAUGAAGAACGCAGCGAAAUGCGAUAAGUAAUGUGAAUUGCAGAAUUCAGUGAAUCAUCGAAUCUUUGAACGCACCUUGCACUCUUUGGUAUUCCGAAGAGUAUGCCUGUUUGAGUGUCAUGAAAUCUUCAACCAUUCUGUUGGGUGUUUACGCCUGGCGGUUUGGAUUGGACUUGGGUGUUUGUCGGACAAGUGAUUGUCUGACUCACCUUAAAAGGAUCAGUGGAUCUAUUGUCUUGGACUUUUGCAUUGCAAUUGGUUUGACUUGGCGUAAUAAGUAUUUCGCUAAAGGACAGUGCUUCGGUGCUGGCCAUUGCUUUUCAACCGGACUUUGGAAAUCGCUUUCUAACCCUAAUUUUAUUUGACAUCUGGCCUCAAAUCAGUAGGACUACCCGCUGAACUUAA
rnacentral:rRNA from 1 species